rnacentral:rRNA from 1 species
AACGAACGCUGGCGGCAUGCCUAACACAUGCAAGUCGAACGAGACCUUCGGGUCUAGUGGCGCACGGGUGCGUAACGCGUGGGAACCUGCCCUUAGGUUCGGAAUAACUCCCCGAAAGGGGUGCUAAUACCGGAUAAUGUCUUCGGACCAAAGAUUUAUCGCCUUUGGAUGGGCCCGCGUUGGAUUAGCUAGUUGGUAGGGUAAAAGCCUACCAAGGCGACGAUCCAUAGCUGGUCUGAGAGGAUGAUCAGCCACACUGGGACUGGGACACGGCCCAGACUCCUCCGGGAGGCGGCAGUGGGGAAUAUUGGACCAUGGGCGAAAGCCUGAUCCAGCACUGCCGCGUGAGUGAUGAAGGCCUUAGGGUUGUAAAGCUCUUUUACCCGGGAUGAUAAUGACAGUACCGGGAGAAUAAGCUCCGGCUAACUCCGUG